rnacentral:rRNA from 1 species
UACGGGGGGGGCAAGCGUUGUUCGGAAUUACCGGGCGUAAAGGGCUCGUAGGUGGCCAACUAAGUCAGACGUGAAAUCCCUCAGCUUAACUGGGGAACUGCGUCUGAUACUGGAUGGCUUGAGAUUGGGAGAGGAAUGCGGAAUUCCAGGUGUAGCGGUGAAAUGCGUAGAUAUCUGGAGGAACACCGGUGGCGAAGGCGGCAUCCUGGACCAACACUGACGCUGAGGAGCGAAAGCCAGGGGAGCAAACGGG